UAUAGACUUGCCUGUAUCUAGCAAUCACAGGCAGUCCAGUAUCCAGUACCAGCACUCAGCAGUGUAUUUUCGUCUUUUGCAAUGCCAGGACAUAUGCGUUUCUUAUUUCGUCAGUGUGUGUUUGUCGUAAGGGCAAAUUGUAAUUUUAUACUCAUUACCGCGUAGUGACUUACAGUUUUCCUUUUCAAGAUCGAAUAGGGUUGCAGUUCAAGAAGAUACCCUAAAUCAAAUGAAUAUUUAUAGUUUACAAUGGAAUGGGAAAAACUUAUGUGAAAAUUCGCAUCAAAAUUUUGUGGUUAAAGUUCAUCCUGAAAUUUUUUAUACGAUGAGAAAGAGGAAUAAUUAACAGCAUAUUUCGAUAAUCCAAUGGUUAGGGUAAUCAAAAUAACGAAGAUUGCAUUAGAUGAAUAUGUAUGUGAAAUAAAGAUGUGAAAUGUGGGAGUUUGAAAUCGACGGUAUCUUGGUUCCACUGAAAGCUUUUUCAUGCACGCGGACUUGUGCGGGUUCCAUGUGUACGUUGUACAAGCUAUAAACAAAAGACUUCUAAUUGAAAAAUGCGAAAUGUGUAACUCCAGAGACACUUAUAUAUGAAAAGCGAGCUCAUCUUUCAGUUUCCAAUGUGUGUUAAAAAAAACAUCCAUAAGAAGAUAAUGUAAACAUUGAUUAUUUGUACUUUAAUCUUGAACGAUAAUAAAUAGUUUUUAGGAAAUGCAAAGAAGAAAACAAAAUCAUAACUGAAAGUUAUGGUUUCGUAUAUUUAUUUUUUGUGUGAUAAUAAUAACAAUUGUGAAAAAUGUGUGCACGGCUCGUUUAUGUAAAAAGUUGUAUUACUUAUGGAGUUCAUUGUUUAAUUGUCAAGUUCAAUAACUUGUUAGUUUUGACUGUGUUUUUAUUUAUUUAAUUAUUAUUCUUGUAACAAGUGUUUCCAACACUCUUGAAAAUGUGACAGAGAAACGGUUUUGCAAAGAGAGCAACUGAAAAAGUACGUCCCGUGAGUGAUGAUUCUCCAAUAAAGUACCUUUAAUGCCAUUUAAAACUAUUCAACAGACGUCGAGGAAAUUACCAUUGUCAAAGAGGAACUUACUUCUUUUGAAGAUUCAAAUUUAGUGGAUGUGUGCACUAUUGAUGAUAUCGACACUAGCUCAAGACCCGACUUUAAAGAAAU